ensembl:lncRNA
AUGUUAAAUUCUGCCUUUGUCUCACAUACUACUUGUUUCCUGAUUACUGUGCUUAACAUAUCCUGAGUCUUUGGCUCUCUUUAAUGUUAAUGAAUAUACAAAUUAAUUCACGUAGGAACAGACUGAUUUAGUCAAAACUGAAUAUGAAUAGGAAAGAGAAAGACACAAUCUCAAAUAAAGAAGCAGUUACUUUUAUUAUAGGCAAGAAAAUGUGGUGAUAGAACGUGAAGGAAAAAUUAGAAAUUCCGUUGUUGGAGCAUUUGGUUUUCAGCUAAUAAAUAUGGACAAUUACUGAUGUAAUUUAAUAUUUUAUUGAAGGACUCCCACUGCAUGGGAGGUAGUAUUAGAUAAGAUUUUUAUGUAAAUUCUUUUGUUAUUCCAUGCUUCACACUUGAUCUCUCCAAUUAAUAAGACUUGUUAUUACCAGUACACUUAGAUUCAGAUUAAGCAUGUACAUUUUACCUAAUCCCAAUAAAAAGGCAAUUAUACUUUGUUUUCUAAAGAUCCAUGCUGCUGCCCUUUUAUAUAUAAUACUUUACAUAUAGGAGUAUCGUUCUAUUAAUGCUUAUUUUAUAAAACCAUGAUCAAGUAUAUUAGUCUAAUGAUAGUGACAGCAAAUAAAUUAUAAGUGGUGCUGAGAUUAUAGAUGUCUCUCAGUUUUAGAUGACUUCCUAGGGAAAUAAUGAUAUUUUCUGACUGUGACUAAGAUUAUACUUAUUAUCACUGCUGAAUACUCUUAGAGAAUUUUCACAGACAAAAUAACAGCAAAAUAAUUUUACCCCACUUUUCUUCUUGAAAGAAAUAACUAAAGACAUAGAGAUUUUGUUUUGUUUUUAAAGAUUUAUUUUGACUACAAUUAUUUUGACAUAUGUGUCAGACUUCCACUCAAUUCUAUUCAACACAUAUUCUUUUAAUACAUAUCCUCUAUGUGAGAGCUUUUGUAGGUCUGGGAAUGCGAUGAUCAAGUGGCCUUUGCCCCCAAAGGAUCAUUUAUUCCAGUGUGAUAGAUUACAAAGGAGAAUAAGAAACACUUAGGGCACAAAAACGAUCAUUUAAGUCUUGAAGGGUUAGGGAGUGUUUGGUAGGUUUCUGGAUUGGGCAUUUGAAUAGACUGUGGUACAUUUCUUAGAGAAAAUUAGUUUUAAGGGAGCAUAGCGUGUUCAAAAACCUGAGUUUAAAUUAGGGACUAGGAAUACAUGAAAUGAUGAGCAGAGUGUAGACUUUAUACUAAAGGGGAAAUAAGGAAUCACUGAAGAGUUAUAAGCAAAGUAGUGACAUGAAAAUAAUUGCACUUUGCAAAGACCUGAUCAAUGGAGAGAAUAAAAGUAGAUGAAGCAAGGCUGGAGUCAGGAAUCUUUAUUAGGCAACAGCUGAAUUAGUGCAGGCAGUACAUGAUGGUAGCCUAAACUAGUGCUGAUCUGUGCAAUGAGAGAAUGGAUUUGAAGGAGACUUGGGAGUUGAGAGUCUACAGUUCCUGGUACUUAUUGGGGGAUGAGGGAGGGAGAGGAAAGAAUCAAGGGUGCUCAGGUUUCUGGUUUGGGUGAUUGAGUAGACUGGUGCUUUGCUCUGAACUUGGAGUCACAGGAAGCAGAUCCAGUUUAGGGGCAGAAGAAAAUGAGCCCCAUUGUGGGCAUGUUGGGUUUAGCAAUCUUUGAACCAGCCCUGUGGAACUGUCUGAUUGCCUAUCUGUUCUGUGGGUCUGUGUAUCUGGGUCUGAGGCUACCUGUGAUCACAGCCUGGCUGGAAGUGGUUCCUCUGAGGAUGUGUAGAAUGGGAAGAGAACCUCAAACAGCUGUCUGCAUACUUUUUGUGUAAGGAGCCAAAUGGUAGCUCUUUUAAAGAUUGUGGACCGUACAGUUUAGAACUGCUCAAUGGUGCUGUGGUAGCACUGAAGCAGCCACAGACAACACACAAGUAGGCAUGAAUGUGAUACCCUGAAAGUUAAUUAUGCAUGCUGAAAUUUGAAUUUCAUAUAAUUAUCACAUAUCACUAAAUAUUAUUCUUCCUUUGAUUUUUGUUAUUGUUCAACCAUUUAAAAUUGUACAAGUCCAAUCUUACUUUGUGGAACAUAUGAAAAAAAUUGAUGAGCCAGAUAUGUCCUGUGAACCAUAGUUUGCAGAAUCCUGGCCUAGAACAUUACCCUUUGGUUAAGAGAAACCAAAGAGGAAAUGGCAGGAACUGGGUCAGAAUGGUAGGAGAAAAUUAAGAGCAUAAAAUAUCUAUAUGCCAUAUAAUUUUGAGUUAGCUCUGACAUUUGUGGUAGCUGGGUGCCAAGAAGUUAAAAAUUGCAUAUAUAUCCAAUGGAAUAUUACUCAGCCAU